CCUACGGGUGGCAGCAGUGAGGAAUAUUGGUCAAUGGACGAGAGUCUGAACCAGCCAAGUAGCGUGAAGGAUGACUGCCCUACGGGUUGUAAACCUCUUUUAUCUGGGAAUAAAAUGUUCCACGUGUGGGCGUUUGUAGGUACCAUAUGAAUAAGGAUCGGCUAACUCCGUGCCAGCAGCCGCGGUAAUACGGAGGAUCCGAGCGUUAUCCGGAUUUAUUGGGUUUAAAGGGUGCGUAGGUGGGUUGUUAAGUCAGUUGUGAAAGUUUGCGGCUCAACCGUAAAAUUGCAGUUGAAACUGGCAGUCUGGAGUUGAGUAGAGGUGGGCGGAAUGCGUGGUGUAGCGGUGAAAUGCUUAGAUAUCACGAAGAACCCCGAUUGCGAAGGCAGUUCACUGGACUGCAACUGACACUGAGGCUCGAAAGUGUGGGUAUCAAACAGGAUUAGAUACCCCUGUAGUC
rnacentral:rRNA from 1 species